AUUGAACGCUGGCGGCAUGCCUUACACAUGCAAGUCGAACGGCAGCACGGGAGCAAUCCUGGUGGCGAGUGGCGAACGGGUGAGUAAAGUAUCGGAACGUGCCCAGUCGUGGGGGAUAACGUAGCGAAAGUUACGCUAAUACCGCAUACGAUCUAUGGAUGAAAGCGGGGGAUCGCAAGACCUCGCGCGAUUGGAGCGGCCGAUAUCAGUUUAGGUAGUUGGUGGGGUAAAGGCUCACCAAGCCGACGAUCUGUUGCUGGUCUGAGAGGACGACCGGCCACACGGGGACUGAGACAGGGCGCAGACGCCGACGGGAGGAAGCAGUGGGGAAUUUUGGACAAUGGGCGAAAGCCUGAUCCAGCCAUGCCGCGUGCAGGAUGAAGGCCUUCGGGUUGUAAACUGCUUUUGUACGGAACGAAAAGGUUUGGGCUAAUAAGCUGAGCUCAUGACGGUACCGUAAGAAUAAGCACCGGCUAACUACGUGCCAGCCGCCGCGGUAA
rnacentral:rRNA from 1 species